AUCUGCGGUGUUUGUCAGUGACCGGGUAAUACUCUUGAGCCUAAUAUUUUACCCCGGGUUUGUCUUGCUAUAGCUGUUGUGCAUGUCCGCCCUGGUAGCGGAAAGCCUGAUGCCUGGCCGACAAUCCCACCUGAACCUUCGGUUCAAGGUCGAUGGUCGCAACGGCAUUGUGGAUG
rnacentral:other from 1 species